GACGAACGCUGGCGGCGUGCCUAAUACAUGCAAGUAGAACGCUGAAGAGAGGAGCUUGCUCUUCUUGGAUGAGUUGCGAACGGGUGAGUAACGCGUAGGUAACCUGCCUUGUAGCGGGGGAUAACUAUUGGAAACGAUAGCUAAUACCUCAUAACAAUGGAUGACACUUGUCAUUUAUUUGAAAUGGUCAAUUGCUCCACUACAAGAUGGACCUGCGUUGUAUUAGCUAGUAGGUGAGGUACUAGCUCACCUAGGCGACGAUACAUAGCCGACCUGAGAGGGUGAUCGGCCACACUGGGACUGGGACACGGCCCAGACUCCUACGGAUGGCAGCAGUAGGGAAUCUUCGGCAAUGGCGGCAACCAUGACCGAGCACAGCCGAGUCAGUGACGAAGGUAUUCGGAUCGUCAAGCUCUGUUGUAAGUGAAGACCGGCUGUGAGAGUGGACAGUUCACACUGUGACGGUAGCUUACCAGAAAGGGACGGCUAACUACGUG
rnacentral:rRNA from 1 species